rnacentral:rRNA from 1 species
GACGGAGGGUGCUAGCGUUGUUCGGAAUUACUGGGCGUAAAGGGCGCGUAGGCGGCUGCUCAAGUCGGGUGUGAAAGCCCGGGGCUCAACCCCGGAACGGCACCCGAGACUGGGCGGCUCGAGACCGGGAGAGGUGGGUGGAAUACCCAGUGUAGAGGUGAAAUUCGUAGAUAUUGGGUGGAACACCGGUGGCGAAGGCGGCAUCCUGGACCGGCAUUGACGCUGAGGAGCGAAAGCCAGGGGAGCAAACGGG